AGAGUUUGAUUAUGGCUCAGGAUGAACGCUAGCUACAGGCUUAACACAUGCAAGUCGAGGGGCAGCAUGAUCUAGCUUGCUAAGAUUGAUGGCGACCGGCGCACGGGUGAGUAACGCGUAUCCAACCUUCCCUGUACUAGGGGAUAGCCCGGCGAAAGUCGGAUUAAUACCCUAUGUUUUCCGAAGCGAGCAUUUAAUUUGGAACAAAGGUUUACCGGUAUAGGAUGGGGGAUGCGUCUGAUUAGAUAGUAGGCGGGGUAACGGCCCACCUAGUCGACGAUCAGUAGGGGUUCUGAGAGGAAGGUCCCCCACAUUGGAACUGAGACACGGUCCAAACUCCUACGGGAGGCAGCAGUGAGGAAUAUUGGUCAAUGGACGAGAGUCUGAACCAGCCAAGUAGCGUGCAGGAUGACGGCCCUAUGGGUUGUAAACUGCUUUUAUAUAGGGAUAAAGUGAGGGACGUGUCCCUUAUUGUAGGUACUAUAUGAAUAAGGACCGGCUAAUUCCGUGCCAGCAGCGGC
rnacentral:rRNA from 1 species